rnacentral:lncRNA from 1 species
GCGGCCCCCGAUGGGCUCCGCCCGGCAGCGCCCAGUGCGGUGCCCAGGCCGAGCUCCACGCGGUUCCCCGCAGUGUAGAGCACAGGCAGAUCCGCCGUGCCGCGCGCGGCCGUCAGGGAGCGCUGAGGGGCGGCCGCGGCCCGAGACACGCGGGAGGAACUUGGAAGAGAAACCUGCAAUGAAAGCCUGGGAGCUGACAGAAGCUGGUUUGCAACAGCUGUGGACAACUUCUUCCUCCAGCAGCAACAGUGAGAACAAGGAGUGUUUUCUACAUCAGGAAGAUAGAGUAUUCCUGGCAGCAGCACUGCGACAGUGAGAAUCAUGCCAGCCUGCCUUGGGAAUCAGAGUUCAGCUCACCAUGAAAAUGAACAAUGAAUCUGUGACGGAGUGGAGAAUGAUUCACCCAUUGUUCUGUUUU